GGGUGACGAGCGGCGGACGGGUGAGUAAUGUCUGGGAAACUGCCUGAUGGAGGGGGAUAACUACUGGAAACGGUAGCUAAUACCGCAUAACGUCGCAAGACCAAAGAGGGGGACCUUCGGGCCUCUUGCCAUCAGAUGUGCCCAGAUGGGAUUAGCUAGUAGGUGGGGUAACGGCUCACCUAGGCGACGAUCCCUAGCUGGUCUGAGAGGAUGACCAGCCACACUGGAACUGAGACACGGUCCAGACUCCUACGGGAGGCAGCAGUGGGGAAUAUUGCACAAUGGGCGCAAGCCUGAUGCAGCCAUGCCGCGUGUAUGAAGAAGGCCUUCGGGUUGUAAAGUACUUUCAGCGGGGAGGAAGGUGUUGAGGUUAAUAACCUCAGCAAUUGACGUUACCCGCAGAAGAAGCACCGGCUAACUCCGUGCCAGCAGCCGCGGUAAUACGGAGGGUGCAAGCGUUAAUCGGAAUUACUGGGCGUAAAGCGCACGCAGGCGGUCUGUCAAGUCGGAUGUGAAAUCCCCGGGCUCAACCUGGGAACUGCAUUCGAAACUGGCAGGCUAGAGUCUUGUAGAGGGGGGUAGAAUUCCAGGUGUAGCGGUGAAAUGCGUAGAGAUCUGGAGGAAUACCGGUGGCGAAGGCGGCCCCCUGGACAAAGACUGACGCUCAGGUGCGAAAGCGUGGGGAGCAAACAGGAUUAGAUACCCUGGUAGUCCACGCCGUAAACGAUGUCGACUUGGAGGUUGUGCCCUUGAGGCGUGGCUUCCGGAGCUAACGCGUUAAGUCGACCGCCUGGGGAGUACGGCCGCAAGGUUAAAACUCAAAUGAAUUGACGGGGGCCCGCACAAGCGGUGGAGCAUGUGGUUUAAUUCGAUGCAACGCGAAGAACCUUACCUACUCUUGACAUCCAGAGAACUUUCCAGAGAUGGAUUGGUGCCUUCGGGAACUCUGAGACAGGUGCUGCAUGGCUGUCGUCAGCUCGUGUUGUGAAAUGUUGGGUUAAGUCCCGCAACGAGCGCAACCCUUAUCCUUUGUUGCCAGCGGUCCGGCCGGGAACUCAAAGGAGACUGCCAGUGAUAAACUGGAGGAAGGGUGGGGGAUGACGUCAAGUCAUCAUGGCCCUUACGAGUAGGGCUACACACGUGCUACAAUGGCGCAUACAAAGAGAAGCGACCUCGCGAGAGCAAGCGGACCUCAUAAAGUGCGUCGUAGUCCGGAUUGGAGUCUGCAACUCGACUCCAUGAAGUCGGAAUCGCUAGUAAUCGUAGAUCAGAAUGCUACGGUGAAUACGUUCCCGGGCCUUGUACACACCGCCCGUCACACCAUGGGGAGUGGGUUGCA
rnacentral:rRNA from 1 species